rnacentral:rRNA from 1 species
UACGUAGGGUCCGAGCGUUGUCCGGAAUUAUUGGGCGUAAAGGGCUCGUAGGCGGUCUGUCGCGUCGGGAGUGAAAACUUACAGCUUAACUGUGAGCGUGCUUCCGAUACGGGCAGACUUGAGGUAUUCAGGGGAGAACGGAAUUCCUGGUGUAGCGGUGAAAUGCGUAGAUAUCGGGAGGAACACCUGUGGCGAAAGCGGCGCACUGGACCAUAACUGACGCUGAGGCACGAAAGCUAGGGGGAGCAAACAGG